AGUGAACGCUGGCGGUAGGCCUAACACAUGCAAGUCGAACGGCAGCACAGUAAGAGCUUGCUCUUACGGGUGGCGAGUGGCGGACGGGUGAGGAAUACAUCGGAAUCUACUUUUUCGUGGGGGAUAACGUAGGGAAACUUACGCUAAUACCGCAUACGACCUACGGGUGAAAGCAGGGGAUCUUCGGACCUUGCGCGAUUGAAUGAGCCGAUGUCGGAUUAGCUAGUUGGCGGGGUAAAGGCCCACCAAGGCGACGAUCCGUAGCUGGUCUGAGAGGAUGAUCAGCCACACUGGAACUGAGACACGGUCCAGGCUCCUGCGGGAGGGAGCAGUGGGGAAUAUUGGACAAUGGGCGCAAGCCUGAUCCAGCCAUACCGCGUGGGUGAAGAAGGCCUUCGGGUUGUAAAGCCCUUUUGUUGGGAAAGAAAAGCAGCAGGUUAAUACCCCGCUGUUCUGACGGUACCCAAAGAAUAAGCACCGGCUAACUUCGUG
rnacentral:rRNA from 1 species